rnacentral:rRNA from 1 species
AUUGAACGCUGGCGGCAGGCCUAACACAUGCAAGUCGAGCGGAUGAAGGGAGCUUGCUCCUGGAUUCAGCGGCGGACGGGUGAGUAAUGCCUAGGAAUCUGCCUGGUAGUGGGGGAUAACGUCCGGAAACGGGCGCUAAUACCGCAUACGUCCUGAGGGUGAAAGUGGGGGAUCUUCGGACCUCACGCUAUCAGAUGAGCCUAGGUCGGAUUAGCUAGUUGGUGGGGUAAAGGCCUACCAAGGCGACGAUCCGUAACUGGUCUGAGAGGAUGAUCAGUCACACUGGAACUGAGACACGGUCCAGACUCCUACGGGAGGCAGCAGUGGGGAAUAUUGGACAAUGGGGGAAAGCAUGAUCCAGCCAUGCCGCGUGUGUGAAGAAGGUCUUCGGAUUGUAAAGCACUUUAAGUUGGGAGGAAGGGCAGUAAGUUAAUACCUUGCUGUGUUGACGGUACCAACAGAAUAAGCACCGGCUAACUUCGUG